rnacentral:rRNA from 1 species
GGUAACGGCCCACCAAGGCUACGGUGUCUAGGGGUUCUGAGAGGAUGAUCCCCCACACUGGUACUGAGACACGGACCAGACUCCUACGGGAGGCAGCAGUGAGGAAUAUUGGUCAAUGGGCGCAAGCCUGAACCAGCCAUCCCGCGUGAAGGAAGACUGUACUAUGUAUUGUAAACUUCUUUUCUGCAAGAAGAACGUGACCUACGUGUAGGUCAGUGACGGUAUUGCAGGAAUAAGCAUCGGCUAACUCCGUGCCAGCAGCCGCGGUAAUACGGAGGAUGCGAGCGUUAUCCAGAUUCAUUGGGUUUAAAGGGUGCGUAGGCGGCCUGUUAAGUCAGUGGUGAAAGUUUGCGGCUCAACCGUAAAAUUGCCAUUGAUACUGACAGGCUUGAAUCCACGUGAAGUAGGCGGAAUGUGCAGUGUAGCGGUGAAAUGCUUAGAUAUUGCACAGAACACCGAUUGCGAAGGCAGCUUACUAAAGUGGUAUUGACGCUGAUGCACGAAAGCGUGGGGAUCGAACAGGAUUAGAUACCCUGGUAGUCCACGCCGUAAACGAUGUUCACUCGCUGUUUGCGAUACACAGCAAGCGGCCAAGCGAAAGCAUUA